CCUACGGGCGGCUGCAGUGGGGAAUAUUGGACAAUGGGCGAAAGCCUGAUCCAGCCAUGCCGCGUGUGUGAAGAAGGCCUUCGGGUUGUAAAGCACUUUCAGUGGGGAAGAAAGCCUUGGGGCUAAUACCCUCGAGGAAGGACAUCACCCACAGAAGAAGCACCGGCUAACUCCGUGCCAGCAGCCGCGGUAAUACGGAGGGUGCGAGCGUUAAUCGGAAUUACUGGGCGUAAAGCGCGCGUAGGCGGUCUGAUAAGCCGGUUGUGAAAGCCCCGGGCUCAACCUGGGAACGGCAUCCGGAACUGUCAGGCUAGAGUGCAGGAGAGGAAGGUAGAAUUCCCGGUGUAGCGGUGAAAUGCGUAGAGAGCGGGAGGAAUACCAGUGGCGAAGGCGGCCUUCUGGACUGACACUGACGCUGAGGUGCGAAAGCGUGGGUAGCAAACAGGAUUAGAUACCCGGGUAGUC
rnacentral:rRNA from 1 species